ACCGGCGCAAGGGUGCGUAACGCGUGAGCAACAUGCCCGUAUCAGGGGGAUAAUCCAGGGAAACUUGGUCUAAUACCCCAUAGUAAUCUUAGGAGGCAUCUUUUAAGAUUUAAAGCUUUGGUGGAUACGGAUUGGCUCGCGUGACAUUAGCUAGAUGGUAGGGUAACGGCCUACCAUGGCUACGAUGUCUAGGGGUUCUGAGAGGAAGAUCCCCCACACUGGAACUGAGACACGGUCCAGACUCCUACGGGAGGCAGCAGUGAGGAAUAUUGGACAAUGGAUGGAAAUCUGAUCCAGCCAUGCCGCGUGCAGGAAGACUGCCCUAUGGGUUGUAAACUGCUUUUGUAUGGGAGCAAUAAGCCCUUCGUGAAGGGUGAUGAGAGUACCAUACGAAUAAGCAUCGGCUAACUCCGUGCCAGCAGCCGCGGUAAUACGGAGGAUGCAAGCGUUAUCCGGAUUUAUUGGGUUUAAAGGGUGCGUAGGCGGUUGGAUAAGUCAGCGGUGAAAGUUUUCUGCUUAACAGGAAAAAUGCCGUUGAUACUGUCUGGCUAGAAUAUGGUUGCUGUGAGUGGAAUGUGUGGUGUAGCGGUGAAAUGCUUAGAUAUCACACAGAAUAUCGAUUGCGAAGGCAGCUCACAAAGCCAUUAUUGACGCUGAGGCACGAAAGUGUGGGGAUCAAACAGGAUUAGAUACCCUGGUAGUCCACACUGUAAACGAUGAUAACUCGCUGUCGG
rnacentral:rRNA from 1 species